ACAUUGAGCCUUGAUGUGUAGGAUAGGUGGGAGGCUUUGAAGUGUGGACGCCAGUCUGCAUGGAGCCGACCUUGAAAUACCACCCUUUAAUGUUUGAUGUUCUAACGUGGACCCGUGAUCCGGGUUGCGGACAGUGUCUGGUGGGUAGUUUGACUGGGGCGGUCUCCUCCUAAAGAGUAACGGAGGAGCACGAAGGUUGGCUAAUCCUGGUCGGACAUCAGGAGGUUAGUGCAAUGGCAUAAGCCAGCUUGACUGCGAGCGUGACGGCGCGAGCAGGUGCGAAAGCAGGUCAUAGUGAUCCGGUGGUUCUGAAUGGAAGGGCCAUCGCUCAACGGAUAAAAGGUACUCCGGGGAUAACAGGCUGAUACCGCCCAAGAGUUCAUAUCGACGGCGGUGUUUGGCACCUCGAUGUCGGCUCAUCACAUCCUGGGGCUGAAGUAGGUCCCAAGGGUAUGGCUGUUCGCCAUUUAAAGUGGUACGCGAGCUGGGUUUAGAACGUCGUGAGACAGUUCGGUCCCUAUCUGCCGUGGGCGCUGGAGAACUGAGGGGGGCUGCUCCUAGUACGAGAGGACCGGAGUGGACGCAUCACUGGUGUUCGGGUUGUCAUGCCAAUGGCACUGCCCGGUAGCUAAAUGCGGAAGAGAUAAGUGCUGAAAGCAUCUAAGCACGAAACUUGCC
rnacentral:rRNA from 1 species